AAUGUGAUUGGAAAAGAAAAUGAAGGAGAACUAAUUAGUGGAGGGUUGAGGGUAAAGUGCUACAAUUAGAGACUACAAAGUUAAAUGUACAAUGAACUAAUGUUAAGAUUAAUGGGUCAAAGUUGUAUGUAAUGUAGAUCCGGUAAACUAUAAUUCUUCUUUCAGAUGCUCAACAGUAUCAUGUCUUGUCGUUACAUUGAAGCUUCUCAAUAACUUCCUCCAAGGGAGGAUCUCCAGGUCUACGGAAGACUUGAUCCCC
rnacentral:misc_RNA from 1 species